UAGAGGGUGAGGCCUGCCCAAUGGUUGUAUCUAAAAGCGGUUGAUAAAAGUCGACCUCGUAAGGACAAUUGAAUGGCCGCGGUAACACUGACCGUGAUAAUGUAGCGUAAUCAAUAGCCAAUUAAUUGUUGGCCAGUAUGAAUGGCGCCACGAAGGCCCCACUGUCUUAAGGAAAUUCCCAGUGAAAUUGAAUUCGUAGUGAAGAUGCUACGUCCAAUUUGUUAGACGAAAAGACCCCGUUGAGCUUUACUGGGGCACUUACACGGCCCCGGCCUUCCAAACUAGGCUUACCAUGCCUAGAGGUCGGCCGAAUUUAAAUGGGUGGUUUAGAUUAUGUGGCAGCCCCCCGUCGGGGCAGAUGAAACCCCACUCCCCCAUGUCAAAGGGGCUAACCCCCCCCCUUGGGGGGGGACAGUGUAAGUAGGACAGUUUGGUUGGGGCGACCGCCUUUUAAAGAGUAACGAAGGUGCGCUUAAGGUGCGCAAAUAAUGACUGAAGCCUGACUGCGAGGGGGACACCCCGAGCAGACACCCCCAAGCCUGCCCUAAGGGCGGCGGUGGGGUGGGCCAUAGUGACCCGUUAAUUUAGAGUGGAAUAGUUAACGAUCAACGAAUAAAAGUUACCACGGGGAUAACAGCGUAAUAUCGUUAGAGAGUUCACAUCGACGACGAUGUUUGCGACCUCGAUGUUGAA
rnacentral:rRNA from 1 species